rnacentral:rRNA from 1 species
UGCAAGUCGAACGGUGAAGCAGAGCUUGCUCUGUGGAUCAGUGGCGAACGGGUGAGUAACACGUGAGCAAUCUGCCCCUGACUCUGGGAUAAGCGCUGGAAACGGCGUCUAAUACCGGAUACGAGCUGCGAAGGCAUCUUCAGCAGCUGGAAAGAACUUCGGUCAGGGAUGAGCUCGCGGCCUAUCAGCUUGUUGGUGAGGUAACGGCUCACCAAGGCGUCGACGGGUAGCCGGCCUGAGAGGGUGACCGGCCACACUGGGACUGAGACACGGCCCAGACUCCUACGGGAGGCAGCAGUGGGGAAUAUUGCACAAUGGGCGAAAGCCUGAUGCAGCAACGCCGCGUGAGGGACGACGGCCUUCGGGUUGUAAACCUCUUUUAGCAGGAAAGAAGCGAAAGUGACGGUACCUGCAGAAAAAGCGCCGGCUAACUACGUGCCAGCAGCCGCGGUAAUACGUAGGGCGCAAGCGUUAUCCGGAAUUAUUGGGCGUAAAGAGCUCGUAGGCGGUCUGUCGCGUCUGCUGUGAAAACCCGAGGCUCAACCUCGGGCCUGCAGUGGGUACGGGCAGACUAGAGUGCGGUAGGGGAGAUUGGAAUUCCUGGUGUAGCGGUGGAAUGCGCAGAUAUCAGGAGGAACACCGAUGGCGAAGGCAGAUCUCUGGGCCGUAACUGACGCUGAGGAGCGAAAGGGUGGGGAGCAAACAGGCUUAGAUACCCUGGUAGUCCACCCCGUAAACGUUGGGAACUAGUUGUGGGGUCCAUUCC